UAAUUAAGGUGCCAUUGCUAUGAUAGUGUGAGCCGGAGUAAGCUUGGUGCUACCUCUUUUCUUUUGUUUGUUAUUUUCUUUGAAUAAGAGGAUUGAGAGUUUUUGAAUAUUGUGAAGUGAAUUAUGGAAUAGAAAUGUGAUUCGUAUUAUUUGAGAAGAAGAAAGAUUGAAUGCUGAAAUCUAAUUGUAGUUCAACACAGAGAAUGAGUCUGUGUUUGUAUAAAACACUGUAAUGUGAAUGGCAAUUCUGUGUAAAGAAUUCCAGUGAUUGGAAUGAGGGUAAUUGUGUACUCAAAGCUGUGAGGGCGCAGUAUUACAGUUGGAGAUUAUGAAGGUAAAUAUAUUGGUGGAAAUAGCAGUUAUUGGUAUGAUUGAAUUGUUGUAAA
rnacentral:lncRNA from 1 species